GAGGUCAAAGAGGCUAUAUGGUGUGACUUUGGUUGAAUUUGGAAGGGUUAGGGUUUUGGCAUGAUUUUUAGAUUUAAUAUUCGAGGAGAUGGGCGAAGAUUUGAGGGACGAGGUUUGAGGUUUUGAAAGAGGAGAGUAGGGUGGUUUAGGGAAGUUGAUUUGGGGAGGUUUGGAGGUGGCACGACGGCGGCGAUGACCACUGAUUUGAAUAUUCGAGGGGAUGGGUGAGGCUUUUGGGAAUGAGGUUCGUAGAUUUGGAGAGAUGAGAGGAAGACGGUUUGGGGGUGUAUUUUUGAAAGGCAUUGGAGAGUCACCACCGGCGGAAGCGAUUUCCGGCCGGCGGAAGAUGGCGACGUUAGGGUUAUUGUAUUAGGGGUG
rnacentral:lncRNA from 1 species